rnacentral:rRNA from 2 species
AGUCGAACGAACUCUGGUAUUGAUUGGUGCUUGCAUCAUGAUUUACAUUUGAGUGAGUGGCGAACUGGUGAGUAACACGUGGGAAACCUGCCCAGAAGCGGGGGAUAACACCUGGAAACAGAUGCUAAUACCGCAUAACAACUUGGACCGCAUGGUCCGAGUUUGAAAGAUGGCUUCGGCUAUCACUUUUGGAUGGUCCCGCGGCGUAUUAGCUAGAUGGUGGGGUAACGGCUCACCAUGGCAAUGAUACGUAGCCGACCUGAGAGGGUAAUCGGCCACAUUGGGACUGAGACACGGCCCAAACUCCUACGGGAGGCAGCAGUAGGGAAUCUUCCACAAUGGACGAAAGUCUGAUGGAGCAACGCCGCGUGAGUGAAGAAGGGUUUCGGCUCGUAAAACUCUGUUGUUAAAGAAGAACAUAUCUGAGAGUAACUGUUCAGGUAUUGACGGUAUUUAACCAGAAAGCCACGGCUAACUACGUGCCAGCAGCCGCGGUAAUACGUAGGUGGCAAGCGUUGUCCGGAUUUAUUGGGCGUAAAGCGAGCGCAGGCGGUUUUUUAAGUCUGAUGUGAAAGCCUUCGGCUCAACCGAAGAAGUGCAUCGGAAACUGGGAAACUUGAGUGCAGAAGAGGACAGUGGAACUCCAUGUGUAGCGGUGAAAUGCGUAGAUAUAUGGAAGAACACCAGUGGCGAAGGCGGCUGUCUGGUCUGUAACUGACGCUGAGGCUCGAAAGUAUGGGUAGCAAACAGGAUUAGAUACCCUGGUAGUCCAUACCGUAAACGAUGAAUGCUAAGUGUUGGAGGGUUUCCGCCCUUCAGUGCUGCAGCUAACGCAUUAAGCAUUCCGCCUGGGGAGUACGGCCGCAAGGCUGAAACUCAAAGGAAUUGACGGGGGCCCGCACAAGCGGUGGAGCAUGUGGUUUAAUUCGAAGCUACGCGAAGAACCUUACCAGGUCUUGACAUACUAUGCAAAUCUAAGAGAUUAGACGUUCCCUUCGGGGACAUGGAUACAGGUGGUGCAUGGUUGUCGUCAGCUCGUGUCGUGAGAUGUUGGGUUAAGUCCCGCAACGAGCGCAACCCUUAUUAUCAGUUGCCAGCAUUAAGUUGGGCACUCUGGUGAGACUGCCGGUGACAAACCGGAGGAAGGUGGGGAUGACGUCAAAUCAUCAUGCCCCUUAUGACCUGGGCUACACACGUGCUACAAUGGAUGGUACAACGAGUUGCGAACUCGCGAGAGUAAGCUAAUCUCUUAAAGCCAUUCUCAGUUCGGAUUGUAGGCUGCAACUCGCCUACAUGAAGUCGGAAUCGCUAGUAAU